CAUGAGCCCACCUGAGCCAGGUGACCUCCAACUGACCACCAGGUGACCCACAUGACCCAAAUGACCAUGGACUGACCAUGACGUGACCCAAGUGACCCAACUGACCUCGAACUGACCACCAGGUGACUGAGAUCACCCAACUGACCAUGAGCCAAUCCCAAAUGACCCAAGUGACCAAGGUGACCACGAACUGACCCUAGCCCUACCCAGGUGACCCAAGUGACCAUGAACUGACCACCAGCUGAUCCAGAUGACCAUGAGUCAACCCCAAAUGACCAAGGUGACUCAGGUGGUCAAGGAGAUCAUGAACUGACCACCAGGUGAUCCAGAUAACCAUGAGCCAACCUCAAAUGACCAAGGUGACCAUGAACUGACCACGAGGUGACCCAAAUGACCAUGAACUGACCACCAGGUGACCCAACUGAUCCAACUGACCAUGAGCCAACCCCAGAUGACCAAAGUGACCAAGGUGACCACGAACUGACCCUGGCCCUACCCAGGUGACCCAACUGACCACGAACUGACCACCAGGAGAUGUAGAUGACCCAACUGAUCACAAACUGACCACUAGAUGACCCAAAUGACCACAAACUGACCACCAGGUGACCUAGAUGACCCAAAUGACCAUGAACUGAUCAUGAGGUGACCUAGAUGACCUAAAUGACCAUGAACUGACCACCAGGUGACCCAAAUGUCCACGAACUGACCACCAGGUGAUCCAAAUGACCAUGAACAGACCACUAGAUGACUCAAAUGACCAUGAACUGACCACCAGGAGAUGUAGAUGACCCAAACGACCACAAACUGACCACCAGGUGACCUAGAUGACCCAAAUGACCAUGAACUGACCAUGAGGUGACCUAGAUGACCUAAAUGACCACAAACUGACCACCAGGUGACCCAAAUGACCACAAACUGACCAUUAGGUGACC